rnacentral:lncRNA from 1 species
CGAGCCUCGAGUUACCGGGGCGGGGCGGAUUCUUUUUCAACGAGUGGGUUGAAUGCUCGUCAUCUCGUGACGAGGAUUCACCGGACUUAGUAUAAACUAAGCUUGCUGGUACCGUGAGCAUUUUCACGCCGAGGCGACCGAAAACGUUCCGCUCGGACUCCGUUCUUUGAGGACGUCGGCGGAGGGAAAUCCAAAAAUAGAAUAAUGUAAGGAUAUUGAAUAAAUGGGUACCUGGUAC